AUAUCAAUAAGCGGAGGAAAAGAAACUAACAAGGAUUCCCCUAGUAACGGCGAGUGAAGCGGGAAGAGCUCAAAUUUUAAAUCUUGUGGGUUUACCUACACGAAUUGUAGUUUAAAGAAACGUUUUCGGGUCUGAUGUGGGUAUAAGUCCUUUGGAAAAAGGCAUCAUGGAGGGUGAGAAUCCCGUUCUUGAUCCACUUUCAGAUCUAUGCGAUACGUUUUCCAAGAGUCGGUUUGUUUGGGAAUGCAGACCAAAAUGGGUGGUAAAUACCAUCUAAAGCUAAAUAUUGGCGAGAGACCGAUAGCGAACAAGUACCGUGAGGGAAAGAUGAAAAGAACUUUGAAAAGAGAGUUAAACAGUACGUGAAAUUGUCAAAAGGGAAACGCUUGAAACCAGUAUUGCGUGCAUGUAAUCAAUCAAACCUUCGGUUUGGUGCACUUGCCUGUAAGCAGGUCAACGUCAGUUUAGUUUGGGGUAAAAAGUCGGAGGAAGGUAGCCCUCUGGGUAUUAUAGCCUCCGAUCCUGCCCCGGAUUAGACUGAGGACUGCAGCAUUCUUUUGGGUACCCGGUCGCCUCUUGAAACUGCGUUGCAGAAAGCUUGCUGACUGUAACGGAACGUAAGGAGCUCGGUCGGUCUUCCACACCAAUGCUUUGGAUGUUGACGAAAUGGUUUUAAACGA
rnacentral:rRNA from 1 species